rnacentral:rRNA from 1 species
GCGGCAUGCUUACACAUGCAAGUCGAACGGUAGAGUAGCAAUACUCGAGAGUGGCGAACGGGUGAGUAAUAUAUCGGAACGUGCCCAGUCGUGGGGGAUAACGUAGAGAAAUUUACGCUAAUACCGCAUACGAUCUACGGAUGAAAGCGGGGGAUUCGCAGGAACCUCGCGCGAUUGGAGCGGCUGAUAUCAGAUUAGGUUGUUGGUGAGGUAAAAGCUCACCAAGCCGACGAUCUGUAGCUGGUUUGAGAGAACGACCAGCCACACUGGGACUGAGACACGGCCCAGACUCCUACGGGAGGCAGCAGUGGGGAAUUUUGGACAAUGGGCGAAAGCCUGAUCCAGCAAUGCCGCGUGUGGGAAGAAGGCCUUCGGGUUGUAAACCACUUUUGUACGGAACGAAACGGUUCGCUUUAAUACAGUGGGCUAAUGACGGUACCGUAAGAAUAAGCACCGGCUAACUACGUGCCAGCAGCCGCGGUAAUACGUAGGGUGCGAGCGUUAAUCGGAAUUACUGGGCGUAAAGCGUGCGCAGGCGGUUAUAUAAGACAGUUGUGAAAUCCCCGGGCUCAACCUGGGAAUUGCAUCUGUGACUGUAUAGCUAGAGUACGGUAGAGGGGGAUGGAAUUCCGCGUGUAGCAGUGAAAUGCGUAGAUAUGCGGAGGAACACCGAUGGCGAAGGCAAUCCCC